rnacentral:lncRNA from 12 species
UGGAUGAUCCAACUGGCCGGUGUAUAUACCUUGCUCUUUUAUUGAGGGGGGCGGGAGAUACGCAAAGAGAUUCAGUCUGCCACACAGCUGGAAACACAGGCCAUUCCAGAGAUUCCUUUAAAAAUCAGAUUAAAGUUUUCUAACAAGGGUGUGGGGGUUUGUUUCUGGGCUUCAGUUGGAUCUUGGAGGAUGAGUUGGUCCCAGAGAAGAAACUUAGAGACCCUUACCAUCAGCUGCCCAUUUAAAGCAGGGAGUAUACUGGGGGGGGGGGGGGGAGCGGGGGAAGGGUUGGGGAGCCGGAGCACACAGGGCCAGGAGGUAGGGGAGAGGGAGAGACUGGAGCAACCUAUGUGCACAGCCUUUCCAUAUACUAUGUCCUGGGGCGCCUGCUAGUAGUAAACGACGGCAUCAGCCGAGAGGAAGAGCAGCUCCUCACGUCCCGCUUAAGGAUGGUCCCGAAACCCCAGAUGUCCCGUCGCCUCCUCGCCUCCUCCUCCUCCGCUGAGAGCCGCAGAUCAGUUCACGUUGACAGAUUAGAGGGGAAAUGUGCCAGAGUUUAUGGCAUGGACCAUGCAGGCUUCCCGGGAACUCUCAGGACCAGAAACAUUCCAGACAUUCCUUAACACAACGUUCCUCAAAAGGUUGGUUUCUUAGGAUCCUGCGGGAAGCACUGCCGGCUUGGUUCACAGAGCCGGCUGCACAGCCUUUCAGGAGCAGAUGGGCCAGACCACUGCAGCUGCCUCUCUGCUCUGAAAGACUUGCUUUGCUCAACUGGAGUCCAUCAAACGCGCCUCUGAAGGGGUAA